GUGUUGGUUUGCUGUUGGAUCCUCUUGAUGGUGGCUCCUUUCGGGCCCACCACCAAUCCCACCACGCGGUAGGGGACGCGAA
rnacentral:miRNA from 12 species